CACUUUGUAUGGGUCUGCUGUCAAGAAAAGAAGAAAACAAAAAACAAAACAAAACAAAAAUCAAUAAGGGGAGGGAAAAAAAAGGUUGGAGAGCCCAGAAGUUAGUUCUGUAAAAUGAAAUGUAAAAUAGUAGUGGUCUUUGCAGGAGAGGUAGAUUGAGUUUUUUAAGAUUUUUGUGUCUCCCCCAACCUCUGCCACCUUGGAGAAGGAGGCAGUGGUGUGGAGCUAUGGCUACCUUUUCAGUGCCCUGCAGGGACAGUGCCAAUCAAUUCAAGAGUAAGUGUUACUCUUUGAAGUUCUUCGCUGGUGUGACUUAAACCAAGUUGCGGACUCCUGAUCCCAUGUUGAAAUUACAGGACCUCUGCGGUGUUUGUGAACUUCUGCUGAUGUGCAGGGGCUUCUCGCUUGCCUUUCUUAUUGGCUUUCCUCCUGAACUGAAACCAUCUUGAUUCCUCACUUUCUUUAGGAAUGAUUCUGCUAAAAACUAACCAUGCCAUAUGUCUUCUGAUGCAUCACAGUUAAUGAUCACAUUUGUUUGAAAACAGGAUCUUUGUUCUCGAAAAUAACCUUGGUUGUAAAGAAAGACAGGCGCAUAUGUUCCAGAAUGAUUUCUGCAUUAUACAUAGCUUUGUAGUUUUAUGAAGUGUCAAGCAGCUGUUUUUCAAUGCCUCAAGAGAUCAAAAGAAAACCUAGAUAGAAUAUUCUUUUCUGGAUGGGAAGUUUCAAAGUCCAAGUCACAGCUCGAGUCCCUCUUUCUGGGAAGAGGAGCUUCUUGAUUGAAAUCCAGUCAGCCUGAGCCUAUUUCAACCCCCAUGGACUCUGGGACAGUACUCAUCUUAAAUUUAGUUCUAUAAAUCACUAAGAAUUCGGUGUUUGUUUUUGUGAUAGUGAGGGGUCUGUUUUUGUUUUUUCCUUUAGAUCUCUACCUUAGGCCAAAUUCAGUUUAAAGAAAAAAAAAUGUUUGAACUAAUCUGUAUUGUAACGACACAUUCCUGUUAUGUUAGUAGUGGCCUUUACACCAACCCCUAUAACUAGGCUGAUUUGCUCAAUCUCUGUCUGUAUGAUCCUGGGAAGCACACAGAGGAGGGUUUCCACUUCACGUUGUGACUACACAGUUCCAACUUCCAGAGCUGCGAGAAUGUCCCACACAUUCAAGAAGCAAGUCAGGAAACAACCCCCAUCUUCCAACCAUGGAAGGUUAAGAACGUCAAAACUAUUCACACACUUUGUGUCUUAUUCUUAUAUAUGUCACAUGCCACAAGAGGAGCAACUUAAGAAAGUAACCCUCAUUUUAAGCCAAGUUACCAGGUUUCUCUGCCAAUAUAACUUUAGCUAAUGUCUGCUAGCCCUAAAAGUGACCAGAUGGGCUAACAGGAUAUCAUGGCAAAAGAAAUUUCCAACCUAGAAAAGUAAAUGCAGAUGAAUCUAAACUCUACUCUGUGUCGAGCUUUAGGCCAAGGACUAAUGUGCAAGGUCUUCCUAGUCAGGUAGUCCUGCAUUUGAAGUGAGAAAAAAAAAAAUCAUGACCAGACUCCUAGCAGGUGACAAACUUCAUUGUGUUUCUUGACUCUAGACUGACCCCAUCAAGAUGGCCACCUUAAUCAUUGAGCAGAUGCAGCAGGUCUUGCAACUAUGAAGGGGACAGUUGAGUUCCCUGGGUUAACAAGGAGCCCAGAAAUAGUGUGAGAGGCUCCUCCCAGAAUUGAGCUCAAAAUGCAUGUCCAGCUGCCAUCUAUAAACCCUUAAGCAGGAGAGGAUGGCCCAUUCUAACCUUCUGGAGGAGGGAGUGUGAUCAGUGUGAAUUGUGGGAUUGCAUUUUUCAUCUGAGAGAUUUAUAUCCAAGUAGCUUUCUCCCGCAAGGAAACAUUCCAACAGUUUCAGAUCAUUUCCUGAAAAGAUUAUGGCCAAUCCCACAGCUCCCCAACCAACAACUACUACUAUGGCUCCAGCAGGCUAGGUAAAUUCCUACAGGCAUGGGAACCCACCCAGGAAGGCUCCUGGACCCCCCCACCACACACACAUACACACACACACACACACACACACACACACACACACACCCCAGUGCCAUCAGGAGAGGCCAGUCCUCGACCUGAUGCAUGAAUGAGACCUAAAGAGCUGCCAGCUUCAUCAUCUAGCCCAGUAUCUCUCCCUUGCAGAUGAGAGUAAAUUGAAAUACAAGUUUCAGAAUACGCUGAAAUUCAAAGUGAUUCAUUUGUCCUCUGCUUCCUCUGGCAUGAGAAUCCUCCUGGGUGGUAG
rnacentral:lncRNA from 1 species